AUCCAACUGAUGAGUCCCGAAUAGGACGAAACGCGUGUCCUAGAU
rnacentral:hammerhead_ribozyme from 1 species